rnacentral:rRNA from 1 species
GACGAACGCUGGCGGCGUGCCUAAUACAUGCAAGUAGAACGCUGAAGGAGGAGCUUGCUUCUCCGGAUGAGUUGCGAACGGGUGAGUAACGCGUAGGUAACCUGCCUGGUAGCGGGGGAUAACUAUUGGAAACGAUAGCUAAUACCGCAUAACAGUAGAUGUUGCAUGACAUUUGCUUAAAAGGUGCAAUUGCAUAACUACCAGAUGGACCUGCGUUGUAUUAGCUAGUAGGUGAGGUAACGGCUAACCAAGGCGACGAUACAUAGCCGACCUGGGAGGGGGAUCGGCCAAACUGGGACUGAGACACGGCCCAGACCCCCACGGGAGGCAGCAGUAGGGCAUCUUCGGCAAUGGACAGAAGUCUGAUCGAGCAACGCCGCGUGAGUGAAGAAGGUUUUCGGAUCGUAAAGCUCUGUUGUAAGAGAAGAACGAGUGUGAGAGUGGAAAGUUCACACUGUGACGGUAUCUUACCAGAAAGGGACGGCUAACUACGUG